UGCGUCGGCCGGGAUUCGAACUCGGGUCUACUGUUUGGGAAUCAGUUAUUCUGACCGUUAAACUACCGACGC